CUCGGGAGGCGGAGGGAGGAAGGAAGGAAGGAAAAGGAGCGGGGCAGCAGCGCGGCGCCUCCUCCGCCACCGGCCCCCGGAGGCCGCGAAAAGAUUGGUCUCUGGAGGUGAAGCAGCUGAAGCCCCCGUCUCUCAGUCAUGUUAUCUGGAUGGCUUCGUCGUCGCUGCCAACCCGCCGCUGUGCCACGCAGUUCCCAGAGCGCAGAUUGUGGAGGGAGUUUGCGCCUCUUUCGAAAAGCAAAGCCCAAGAUCGCCCCCUUUCUUCCGAAGGUGCUACACAUGCUGCGCUCCAGCUAGUGUGUUGGUGUCGGACACGUCCUAUCCUCAUCACAACCCAAUUCAUUUCCUGAUACCAGGGGACUUUCUUCGUGUGUGUUUUGUGUGUUUGUUUGUUCCCUGGCCCAAACCAAGAAAUGGGUCUCUGAUGACUUCCUGAGGAGGGAAAAAGCCAUAUUCAUUCACUGAAUGGCUGCUGCGGUCCAAGAUUUGCUCUAGGGUGUUUCUUUGUUAUGAUUAUGGAGACACAGAGAGGAUGGGUCUUCAUUGGUGCUUUUACCCGUGUUCAGGUGCCCGCUAAUCUGCUUUUAGCUGCAACCAUGUGAGUGCUAUCUGUUUAGCACCCUUUCCACUUUCUAUCCAGUCUGCUGUCUUUUAUGCCUCAUAGCCUGGCUCUUAUCCAGAGCUUUCUUACAACUUUUUUUUAGCACCAUUGAUUAAAAACCCACU